rnacentral:lncRNA from 1 species
AAAGAGGGCUUCAGAGGCCCGGCGAGCGGGAGCUGGUGUGUGUUCGCCUCUCUGCAGUCUGGCCCUUCAGAAGCCUGGGUUCCCACCGGUGCCCCUCUUCCCAAGCUCCCUCUAAUGAAGACUCUGCCACCUUCUCCCGAGUCACCCGCGCUUUAACUCUCGGUGGACUUCCCACAGCUACUCCUACUUCAUGCCCAACCAAUGCCCAGGCUUCCGGCUUUGGAAUCCCAUCUUCUUUUCUCAGGCAAGAUGGUAAGAGAUGAUAUGGGGACUAUGGGGUACAAAAGGGAGCUCCUUUCCCAGGAGUCUCAGUGAAGCCUUUCCUCAGCUGGCAAUGAAGAAUUGCAAAACAAUUAGUAUUUGCUUAAGGCUUUUUUUUCUGCCUUUCUGGCUGAAAACCUGCAAUUUUCUAUGAGUCGUUCCAGGAACUCCCUUUACAUUAAUAAAAGGACAUGUCCCCAAACCCUAGUAGCUCCCGUUUUUU